rnacentral:rRNA from 1 species
GAUGAACGCUAGCUACAGGCUUAACACAUGCAAGUCGAGGGGCAGCAUGGUCUUAGCUUGCUAAGGCCGAUGGCGACCGGCGCACGGGUGAGUAACACGUAUCCAACCUGCCGUCUACUCUUGGACAGCCUUCUGAAAGGAAGAUUAAUACAAGAUGGCAUCAUGAGUCCACAUGUUCACAUGAUUAAAGGUAUUCCGGUAGACGAUGGGGAUGCGUUCCAUUAGAUAGUAGGCGGGGUAACGGCCCACCAAGGCGACGAUCGGUAGCCGGACUGAGAGGUUGAACGGCCACAUUGGGACUGAGACACGGCCCAG